AAGUCGUAACAAGGUCUCCGUAGGUGAACCUGCGGAGGGAUCAUUUACAAGAAUUAACCCGGUUUACCACCGGGGCUAUUCACAACCCUUUGUUGUCCGACUCUGUUGCCUCCGGGGCGACCCUGCCUUCGGGCGGGGGCUCCGGGUGGACACUUACAAACUCUUGCGUAACUUUGCAGUCUGAGUAAAUUUAAUUAAUAAAUUAAAACUUUUAACAACGGAUCUCUUGGUUCUGGCAUCGAUGAAGAACGCAGCGAAAUGCGAUAAGUAAUGUGAAUUGCAGAAUUCAGUGAAUCAUCGAAUCUUUGAACGCACAUUGCGCCCCCUGGUAUUCCGGGGGGCAUGCCUGUUCGAGCGUCAUUUCACCACUCAAGCCUCGCUUGGUAUUGGGCGACGCGGUCCGCCGCGCGCCUCAAAUCGACCGGCUGGGUCUUCUGUCCCCUAAGCGUUGUGGAAACUAUUCGCUAAAGGGUGUUCGGGAGGCUACGCCGUAAAACAACCCCAUUUCUAAGGUUGACCUCGGAUCAGGUAGGGAUACCCGCUGAACUUAA
rnacentral:rRNA from 1 species